rnacentral:rRNA from 1 species
AAUAGCUUUAGGGCUAGCCUUGUUUAGUAGCAUGUGGAGGUAAAGCACUGAAUAUGUGAGGGUUCUUACCAGAAUACCGAUCAUUAUCAAACUCUGAAUGCCAUGUGUGUAAGAACAGGAGUCAGACAGUGACAGCUAAGUGCCAUUGUCAAAAGGGAAAGAGCCCAGACCAACAGCUAAGGUCCCAAAAUUGUAGUUAAGUGGAAAAGGAUGUGGGAAUUCAUAGACAACCAGGAUGUUGGCUCAGAAGCAGCCAUUCAUUUAAAGAGUGCGUAAAAGCUCACUGGUCGAAGUAGGCCUGCGCCGAAAAUUACCGGGGCUAAACUACAUACCGAAGCUUUGGAUUUGGUACGUAAAGUAUUAAGUGGUAGAGGAGCGUUGUAUAAAGGUUGAAGCUAUACUGAAAAGAGUAGUGGACGAUAUACAAGAGAGAAUGCCGGAAUAAGUAGCGAGAGCACAGUGAGAAUCUGUGCCGCCGAAAACCUAAGGUUUCCUGGGGAAGGUUCGUCCGCCCAGGGUAAGUCGGGACCUAAGACGAGGCUAAAGCAGCGUAGUCGAUGGAAAGCAGGUAAAAGAUUCCUGCACUACCGAAAUGCGAUAUACAAUAUAUCAUGACGCAUCAGAAGAGUCUAAGCGAGCAAAUGGAAAAGUUCGUACCGCAAGGUGGAGUGAAAAAUAGUAACGAAGUAGAUAAAUCAGGUGACAAGAAAAGUGAUAUAGGAGCAUAGAGGUACUCGUACCGUAAACCGACACAGGUAGGAAGAAAGAGAAUUUUCAGGCGAACGAGAGAAUCAUUGUUAAGGAACUCGGCAAAUUAACCCCGUAACUUAGGGAUAAGGGGAGCCAAUAGCGAUAUUGGUCGCAGAGAAAUGGCCCAAGCAACUGUUUAGCAAAAACACAGGUUUCUGCCAAAUCGAAAGAUGAAGUAUAGGAGCUGACGCCUGCCCAGUGCUGGAAGGUCAAGGGGAAGAGUAAACGUUUCGAUGUGAAGCUCUGAACUUAAGCCCCAGUGAACGGCGGCCGUAACUAUAACGGUCCUAAGGUAGCGAAAUUCCUUGUCAGGUAAGUUCUGACCCGCACGAAAGGCGUAAUGAUUUGGGCACUGUCUCGACAAUGAACUCGGCGAAAUUGUAGUACUAGUGAAGAUGCUAGUUACCUGUGAUAAGACAGAAAGACCCCAUGGAGCUUUACUGUAGCUUGAUAUUGAGACUAGGUAAGAGAUGUACAGAAUAGAUGGGAGACUAUGAGAUAAGGACGCCAGUUCUUAAGGAGUCACCUUUGGGAUACCAUCCUUCUUUUACUUGGAAUCUAACUAGUUGCCAUGAACUGGUAAUAGGACAGUGUCAGGUGGGCAGUUUGACUGGGGCGGUCGCCUCCUAAAGAGUAACGGAGGCGUUCAAAGGUCAGCUUAACACGGUCAGAAAUCGUGUGAUGACGUGCAAAGGCGUAAGCUGGCUUGACUGCAAGACUGACAGGUCGAGCAGACGCGAAAGCGGGACUUAGUGACCCGAUGGUUGUGAGUGGAAAUGCCAGAGCUCAACGGAUAAAAGUUACCCUGGGGAUAACAGGCUUAUCUCCCCCGAGAGUCCAUAUCGACGGGGAGGUUUGGCACCUCGAUGUCGGCUCAUCGCAUCCUGGAGCGGUAGUACGUUCCAAGGGUUGGGCUGUUCGCCCAUUAAAGCGGUACGCGAGCUGGGUUCAGAACGUCGUGAGACAGUUCGGUCCUUAUCUAUCACAGGCGUAAGAUAUUUGAGAGGAGUUGCCCCUAGUACGAGAGGACCGGGGUGAAGGAACCGAUGGUGCACCAGUUGUAUCACCAGAUGCAUAGCUGGGUAGCCAAGUUCCGAUGGGAUAAACGCUGAAAGCAUAUAAGUGUGAAGCCCACCUCAAGAUUAGAUAUCUCAUGGCGAAAGUCAGUAAGACCCCAAGAAGACUACUUGG